rfam:Acremonium chrysogenum ATCC 11550 scaffold187, whole genome shotgun sequence.
AUAUACGACCAUAGCCCUUAGAGAACUCGGGAUCCCGUCUGCUCUCCCCUAGAUAAGCUAAGGAGCGGAGCGGCUGAUUAGUAGUUGGGUCGGUGACGACUAGCGAAUACUAGCUGUUGUAUGUC